rnacentral:rRNA from 1 species
UACGGAGGGCGCUAGCGUUGUUCGGAAUUACUGGGCGUAAAGCGCGCGUAGGCGGCUUUGUAAGUUAGAGGUGAAAGCCCGGGGCUCAACCCCGGAACUGCCUUUAAGACUGCAUCGCUUGAAUCCGGGAGAGGUGAGUGGAAUUCCGAGUGUAGAGGUGAAAUUCGUAGAUAUUCGGAAGAACACCAGUGGCGAAGGCGGCUCACUGGACCGGCAUUGACGCUGAUGUGCGAAAGCGUGGGGAGCAAACAGG